GAUGAACGCUGGCGGCGUGCCUAAUACAUGCAAGUCGAGCGAACAGACGAGGAGCUUGCUCCUCUGACGUUAGCGGCGGACGGGUGAGUAACACGUGGAUAACCUACCUAUAAGACUGGGAUAACUUCGGGAAACCGGAGCUAAUACCGGAUAAUAUAUUGAACCGCAUGGUUCAAUAGUGAAAGACGGUUUUGCUGUCACUUAUAGAUGGAUCCGCGCCGCAUUAGCUAGUUGGUAAGGUAACGGCUUACCAAGGCAACGAUGCGUAGCCGACCUGAGAGGGGUGUUCGCCACCCCUGGACCGAGGAACCGUCCCGACCUCCUACGGGAGGCAGCGUUGGGAAUUCUUCCGCAUUGGGCGAAACCCUGCCGGGGCACCGCCGCGUGAGUGAGGAAGGUUUUCGAUUCGUAAACCUCUUUUUUUAGGAAAGACCAAAUGUGUAGGUACCUAUGACCGUUUUGACGGUACCUAACCAGAAAGCCCCGCUUACCUCCGU
rnacentral:rRNA from 1 species